UACUAGGGAAUAAUAGGAAAUAAUAUAAAGGAAGUAUGGAGAGUUUUGAUCUCUCUUGUGUAGGUUCAAUUCCUGCUUUUCUA
rnacentral:tRNA from 1 species